rnacentral:rRNA from 1 species
GACAUAGGUGGCGAACGUUAUCCGGAAUUAUUGGGCGUAAAGGGUGCGUAGGCGGUCGGGUAAGUCUGACGUGAAAUCUCCAAGCCUAACUUGGAAACUGCGUUGGAUACUCUCCGGCUAGAGGAAUGGAGGGGAGACUGGAAUACUUGGUGUAGCAGUGAAAUGCGUAGAUAUCGAGAGGAACACCAGUGGCGAAGGCGAGUCCCUGGACAACACCUGACACUGAGGCACGAAAGCUAGGGGAGCAAACAGG